UACGUAGGGUCCGAGCGUUGUCCGGAAUUAUUGGGCGUAAAGGGCGCGUAGGCGGCGUUUUAAGUCGGGGGUGAAAGCCUGUGGCUCAACCACAGAAUGGCCUUCGAUACUGGGACGCUUGAGUAUGGUAGAGGUUGGUGGAACUGCGAGUGUAGAGGUGAAAUUCGUAGAUAUUCGCAAGAACACCGGUGGCGAAGGCAGGUCUCUGGGCCGAUACUGACGCUGAGGAGCGAAAGCGUGGGGAGCGAACAGG
rnacentral:rRNA from 1 species